CGGGCGGCGGUGGGCCGGCGGGCGGCGGCCGGAGGAAGGGGGAGGGGAGACCGGAGGCGGCUGCGCGGCCUUGCUCCUCAGGGAGGAGGAGCCCCCUACUCCAGCGCCACCGCCAGCCCGCACCCCGCAGCGNNNNNNNNNNNNNNNNNNNNNNNNNNNNNNNNNNNNNNNNNNNNNNNNNNNNNNNNNNNNNNNNNNNNNNNNNNNNNNNNNNNNNNNNNNNNNNNNNNNNNNNNNNNNNNNNNNNNNNNNNNNNNNNNNNNCACGACGAGUAGCCUCGUGGAUGGACGUGUAUAACUUCCACGCCCGUAUACACGUUCCACUGGGAGGCAUUUUUCUGUUAGCAACGUGUAUAUUUACCAUCCACCUCCAUAUACACCAUCCACUAGAGAUGCUCUUAUAAACUGAAACGGAGGAAGUACUUUUUUAUAGCUAACUAUUGUACAAGCUAGCUAUAAGAUUGACUAUAAGAUGGCUUAUAGCCAGCAGUUGACUAUACUGUUAACCAUGCUCUUACAAGUUCCAUCCGUAGAUGCUCUAGGCAUGGCACGACGACGUAUGUCGUUGGGACAGUCUUAGAGCAUCUCUAGUGGAACGUGUAUACACCUUGCUAAAUUUUACACCUCCCAGUUUUUCAGUGGAACGUGUAUACAGGACGUGGAAAUCAGGACGUGUAUAUUCCAACGGCUAUAUUUUCAAACGGCUAUAUUUUCAACGGCUAUAUUUUCAACGGCCAUAUUUCUGGUCUAUAUAAACCGCCCCAAUCACCUCUCUUCCAGCAUUUCUAGUUGUGCCUCAUCUUCUCACUUCUAGAUUUCUCUAUCGUCUCUCACACAACACAAUGAACACAUUCUCUUGGGACAUGAGUUCUUCAUCAUCUUCAUCGGGCGACGAUGAACUCAUACUUGCGGCAUUAGCCGAUCGCGAGGAGGAAGAGAGGAUGAACACUCGACGCCAUGGCGGUUCCAUGCAUGGACGUCAGUCAAUCGAUCGAGGAAGAGAUGCCGGAUUUCUUCUUCUCUGGAACGACUAUUUCAAAGAAGUUCCUCGCUUUUCCGAACAUUUGUUUCGACGAAGGUUCGUAAUUAGUACACUUCUCUGCUUUGGUUCUUUUUUCAUUUCCCCGUCUCAUUGACUUUUUAUGCAUAGAUUUAGGAUGUCGCGUACUUUGUUCAACCGCAUAGCUGAUGGUAUACUUGAACAUGACUAUGAUGGUUAUUUUACGCAAAAAAGAAGUGCUUCUGGAGCUCUUGGGUUACAUCCUCUACAAAAGAUGACCGCGGCAAUGCGGAUCCUCACAUAUGGAAUAGCAACUGAUGGUGUUAAUGAGUACAUCGGGUCCGCUGAGGCUACUAAUUUAGAGUCUUGCAAGAAAUUUGUGAUCAAAGUUUGUGAAGUUUCUGAGGAAAAGUACAUGAGAUCUCCAAAUGAAGAAGACAUUGCUAGGUUACUUGCAAUAGGUGAGGAAAGAGGAUUACCUACAAUACUGCCAGUGAUAUGCACAAACAAUACAGAAGUGAGAACACGAAUUGUUCUCCUUGCCUACAAUAUUGCCAGUGAUUGAUUCCCCCCAUAAUUCACUUCUAUUGCAUUCUUGAAGCAGCAGCAGCGGGUUCNNNNNNNNNNNNNNNNNNNNNNNNNNNNNNNNNNNNNNNNNNNNNNNNNNNNNNNNNNNNNNNNNNNNNNNNNNNNNNNNNNNNNNNNNNNNNNNNNNNNNNNNNNNNNNNNNNNNNNNNNNNNNNNNNNNNNNNNNNNNNNNNNNNNNNNGUGCGCCCCAGACCUCUCUGGAAUGGAAAAUAGAAGGGAGGGAGAGAGCUUACCAGAGGGGAGUGGUCGCCGGCGAGCUUCGAUGGCCUUUGGACGGAGGCGGGAGCAGCUUGUUUCCCUUUCCACUAGCGUGGCCGAGCCGUGUGUAUUUGCACGAGAAGUAGCGUUGUGGAUGGACAUGUAAAACUUCCACGUCCGUAUACACGAUCCACUGGGAAGUGUUUUUCAGUUUUCAUAGUAUAUAUUUAGUUUUCAUAGUAUAUAUUUACCAUCCAUCCGUAGAUGCUCUAACAAGUUCCAUCCGUAGAUGCUCUAGGCAUGGCACAACGACGUAUGUCGUUGGGACAGCCGAACGACAGGCGUGUGGCGCAGUCAGGGGGUGGGGUGCCUAGAGAGGCCUACACGCCGCGUGAACCCCAGCUUUUCCGUUGUUGGGCGAACCCCUCCGCCCCUCACCACCGAAGGAGCCCUCCGGAAAAGGCCAACUCCGGGAGCUUUCCUUUGCCCCCCACGCCACGCGGAAAGCGAAAGAGGUUAGCUAGCUUUCCAGCUCCAAAGUUGCAAGUGCGACGCCGCCCGCCCAUGGGUGGACGGACGGGUGGCGGCCUUCAGGUUCAGGUUUAGGCGGGCGGCCACCGGCCUGGCCGGUGAGAAGGACCUGGGACGGCAUUUUUCUUUCAGCGCACAGGGGAAGAAGAAUCCCCGCGAUGCCCAUGAUGGCUCGAUUUGUCAAACGCUAGCUAUAACCUAGAAAGAAAAGAAGAAAAGGAAGAAAAGGCUAAAACAGCAUGGCGAAAAUCUGAAGAGCUAAAGUCACAGGCCACAGGUCACGGAGUAGCAACACGACGCGCACCGCAAAUCUAUCUUAAAUUCCUUAGCUUGCAGGACAGCCGAUCGCCAGCCACCGGCCAAGGCGGCCAGCGGCGCUGCCGGCACGACCACCCUGGCUCGCCGUGGAUGACGCACCGUACUACCGCCGUAGUGCUAGUGUCCGCCCGUGGCCACGCAGCCGCGACCGCGCACGAGACGAGCGCAGCGAAAUGGCAUGGACGGACCCACCAACCCUAGGACCCCGAUCCGAUGGUCGUUCUCCUUCCAUCCAUCCUUGCCCCACCGACCCCGUGGCCUACUCCACGGCUGUUCCCGAGCUGGCCUCCACCCCACCCUCGGGGUCACUGCACUGUCGCUCGGCUCCGCUUACAACAAAUCCAGUAGAAAGCAACAAAGAAUUCCUCGCCUCGAGAUGCCACAUACCACCAGUGGUCGCGUGGAGCGCCACUACAGUACCAGCGGUUUUUUAAAGGUGACCAGACCAGAUCUGCCCCUGCCCAGCCUCAGAUCCAUUCCGCUUCCGCCCGCGUGAUGCACGUACGAACGAGCACGAGCAUUCUAGUGCUAGUUGCUACUAGCACUAUACCAAUACGUACUAUAUAUGUAUACUACACCCUCCAAGAUCCGAUCUGCUGGAGCAACUUAGAGCUAGAAAUCAAGCUACGAGCUACUGUAGUUAUGGACGAAGCUGCAAGAACAGAGUGUAAUAAGCAGCGACGGAGAAAGAAUAAUAAUGAUGAUACAUAUGGUGAGAGGAAUUAACUGGGGGAUUGUACAAUGGAUAUGGAUCGAGCACCACCAGCAACGACGGCCAAACAAUCAGAUCUGUCCACGCCCAACACACGCAUAACACGGAGGAGUGUCCUACUACGAAUCCGAAUGCCGAAUGUAAUAAUCAUCAACGCAACAACAACAAAAGAAGAAGAAAAAAAAGGAAGAUAAACAGCUCCAAGAACACCACCACAAAAGGAGAGGGAGCGGGGCCCUCGGAUAAAUUAAAUACUCUUGCAGGCAGCCGAUCUGCCGCGGGGGCGGGAUCUCUCAGUAGAAGGCGGCGGCGGCGGCCACGGCGGCGGUGGCGACCCACGCGGCGGCGGGGUGGACGCCGGCGGCGGCGCUGGCGGGGGUGGUGGGCGCGUCCAUGGACGGGGCGGGGGACGGGCCCAUCAUCGACGGCUCCGGCGGCGAGCUCAUGUNNNNNNNNNNNNNNNNNNNNNNNNNNNNNNNNNNNNNNNNNNNNNNNNNNNNNNNNNNNNNNNNNNNNNNNNNNNNNNNNNNNNNNNNNNNNNNNNNNNNNNNNNNNNNNNNNNNNNNNNNNNNNNNNNNNNNNNNNNNNNNNNNNNNNNNNNNNNNNNNNNNNNGGGGGAGGCAUGACCGGGGCCACGGCCGGCGGGGGAGACACCGGCGCCGGGGUCGGCGGCGGCAUCAUCGGAGGCGGGGACACCGGGGCCACGGGGGCCGGCAUCGGGGUGGCCGCCGGGGCCUGGGCCGCGGUGGCGGCGAAGAGCAUGGUCAGGGCCAGAGCCACCAGCUGGAUGCGCGCCAUUGGAGGAGUGAAGAGGAGAGCUUGAGCUUGAGCUUGAGCUUGAGCUUUGCUUUUGCUUGAGGUGGUGCUGCUGCUGGUGUACUGUAAUGGUGUCCGAGACGGUAUUGGGCCGGGAGAUUAUAAAGGGGUCGCGGACGGGGCUACGACGACGAAUUAUAUGAAGACCCAGGGGGCUCCGUGCUAAUUUCCGAUCCUGGUAGCCGUCCGAUCGACAUCCGACGGCUCGUAUGGUUGGAAAGCUUCAACUCUUUUUUCUUCCCCAAACUUCUGACUUCUGAACAGCAAGCAAGUUUCAGAAAAACAAGCUAAAUCCCAACAGCUGGCGGAGAUCAUGUCAUUUGGUUCACGGGAAAUUCUCUCGCGAUAUAAGAGUCUGGUGAUUAUUUGCUUUCCUUUUUUUUGUCAUGGUUCACGCGUAAUUCUGGUCGACGGUGAGCUGGGUUUCCUUCCUGUUCCGUCUUGCCUAAUUUUGUCUUGGGGGUUUGAAAAUCGUGUGCAUAAUCCCACCCCUAUCUUCGGUUCAUGGACCCGAUCAAUUAGUCCAUUGCAGAUAUUUGCGGUAAAAUAUUAUGGACGAUCAAUGCAAAAUGGCAAGCAGCUAAUGAGCCAAUUGGCCCACGCGUUUGCAGUGUUCUUUACAACGAUAACAAAAUGUCAGACUUUAAAACAAUGUUAACUUCGAAAGUCAAAGUUUUUUUACAUGGGUGGCACACAUGCAUGUAAACGGACACGCACGCGUAAAUGUGAAAUAGCAAGUGGUAUUUGCUAAUGAGCCGACUGACCCACGCGUUUGCGGAGCUAGUGCAUCGAGUUUUUUCUACAAGAUAAUAAAAGGUCGGAUUUCAAAAACAAAGUUACUUCCAAAGUCAAAGUGCUUUUUCUCGCAAUUACGUUGGUGACGCACACGCAGACACGCACGCGCAAAUGUGAAAUAUCAAGUGCUUGUUAAUGAGCCGAUUGGCUCACGCGAUUGCGAUGUUUGUGCACUGAGUUUUCUUUACAAGGAUAAUGGAGGUCCAUUUCCAACAACAAGGUUGCUUCCAAGGUCAAGGUGCUUCUUUAUGCAGUUACAACACACAUGUAGACACGCACAUACACACACUCAGAACCUUGCAUAUUUUCGACAUUUUUCUCUUCUUUUUUGAGGGCAGGUUCAGCCCAUCAACAUGUGAAAGUAAGCACCCGUGACUGUGCAAUGUUUAGUUGAGGUAAAAGUGGAGAAAAUAACCAUCAAGUGAAUGGGGCGACUCAUUCCAAGAUGAUUUACCAAUUUUCGUGUGCGGUUUUUCCUGUAUGAUUGGAUGAAACUUGUGCGUGUCAAAUCAUCGAAUAUCGUCAUCUUUCUCACCGAAAGAUCAAUAACCAACAUUGUCUCAUCAAUUCGUGAUGUAUGGUGUUCCCUCGUAUGCAUCAUAUUUUUUGCUCUAUAAACAAAACUUACAAAACUAACAAGAGGUCCACAUUGUGUAUGUGUGCACACGCGCGGCGUGGGACAAUUAUAACAAAAAUGUCUUUCUAUAAAAUAGACAUAAAAUAGAGCUCCUUGUUUUGAUCAUUUGAUGAUAGCAUCAACCAGCUAAGAUUAGUUGCCUACAAAAUAAAUACCUUAGCAAUGAAAUGAUUGGUUUGGUGCUAAUCAAUGGAGCGCACGUUGUCCUCACCAAUUCUAUAUUGAGCCGUUGGUGAAUGAUGGGUUGCUGUCAGCGUUUCUCCAUCAAAAUCUUGGGUUUACAAAAGAACGAUACGAGAAAGUAAUCACACUAACACAGACGGUUAGGAAAACAAGAGAAAAUUCUACUGUCAAGUUAUCUCUUCCGUGUAUUCUUCAUGCACAUUUUUAUUUUAUUUUUGCACAUUGUUUGGCUUGCAAGUUUUAGUCUCCUGCCUAUUAUGUUAGCUGGAAGGAGAUAAAGUUCUUGGUCCCCGACGAAAAAUAGGUUCACUUGGGAGGACAAUGGUGUACAGCCUAACCAAACCCUUUUCAAAACCUAAAGCUCCACACGUUCAGGUUGCUCGAUUUGGUCCAUAAGGGUAUACCUAACGCGCCAAAUGUUUCCAAAACCUAAUGUGCCCCGUUUUUUUCCUUCACAAUAUCCAUCUUGUUCCACAAGAUAAAUCCAGAGAUUUCCAACCUAACCAUACCCUUCCAAAACCCAGCGCUCCACUCCUCCAACGUUCAUAUUCUUUGGACAAGAGAUACACACGAAUACACUUGUCUGGUUCCUAACCACCAUGUGGAAGAGUGUGAUUAUGCUAGUUGAUAGGCAGCUCUGAAUCAGACCGACAAUAGGAAGCCCCUAUCUGGAAGCAAGAGUUCAAAUGCAAGUAUGGACUAAUCGCAACGGCGAACGGUCCCUGCAAACUUUGGAGACCAAGUUAAUUCACGAUUUUCAGAGUAACUUUGUCGAAACUCAUGUUUCGUUCCUUAUUAAACUGGGGUCAAUAUCUAAUUAUAAGAGCAUGUUCGCUAGUUGAAUCAUUGUGCCUCCAUUUUAAGGCUUAAUUUGUGAUUGCUGAACUGUGUUGUGUUAUGAUGAUUUCAUAAUUACUAGUCCCUCCGUUUUUAAAUAUAAGUCUUUUUAGAAUUUUUAUUAGAGACUACAUACGGAUGUAUAUAGACAUACUUUAGAGUAUAGAUUAACUCAGUUUGCUUUGUAUGUAGUCACUUAGUGAAACCUCUAAAAUACUUAUAUUUAGAAAGGGGGGAGUAUGUAAAAUUAGCCACAAAAGUAGACAAAAGCGGUUUAAACGCACGCUCAGAUAGGCAAAAACAUAUUAGGCAACACAAGGUUAUCACAAACCACCACAAUACCAAACUCGGCCUAAGUAAAGCUGACUUUUUCCUAGACAAGAAAAAUGCAACGUGUGUAUGACAAUGAUGUUAGAACAAGCCAACAAAGGCAAGAACAUGAGUUUUCAUCUGGAGAUCGCCUCCAGAAAUUGAAGAUAAUACCACAAGGAGAUGACGUGAGAGCAAUGUCGACAUGUCGUUCCCACGUCUAACCAAUGAAGACUAUACCAACCAAUGGAGGCCAACUCAUUCAAUUACUAUACCACGUCUUGGCGCUCAAAAUCGAACAUCACUUGAUCCAACCAAUGGAGGCUAACUCAUUCACGACGAUUGCGACAAUGUCCGUUCAAGAUUUGGCAUGGCCCAAUGACAAGAAACCUCAUGCUAGCGUACUGGUAUCGCUCCACCAUGGAGCUUACUAGAACCGCCAAAACGCUUUGAAGGGGUCGCCCCUCCGCCCUCAUGUCGACGAUGCCCCUGCAGCCACCCCGGCUUCCAUGUCAUAAUCCACAACAUGUCAUCCUCUAACGGGCAGCCAUCACGACCGGAUAUCGACAAGAGCCCCUAACACCACUAUCGGUCGCAAGACCUUUGGUCAUGGCAUCCUCUGGCGGUGGAGGAGGGGGUUGAAGGAAGGCAUGGUAGAGAUGCUAACUUCCUUAACUACACUUUGUAUACAAUAAAGUAGAGAAAUCUCCCAAUCAAUCUUUGCGUCUAAAAAUGCACACAGCCAACGAACAUUAUUGACCUUCCGAAGGACGAUAUAAAGCCGUAUUCCCAUCGUUCUGGGCCGCCGUGAGUUGCCAACAAACAUCCUGAUCCUGCCCGAAAUGCUAUCCACCGAAUGACAUCUGAGCCGAUCCGAUUUAACAAACAGCAAGCUUGCCAAAAACAAGUCCGUUGGUCCGAUCAGAGCCUCGUCGGGUCCAUGGAAACGGGGCUGUGGCCAGGGUGGAAGAUUCCGGCCGGUCGGCCAGCCGCGGUGUAGUACAGAGCUACGUGACGCCGACGUACCAACUAAGCCAAGACAACCACCAUCUUCCGAGUGAAAUCAAAUGAGAUCGACUACGUGACGGCCGCGAACUCUGCUGGGCAGUGUGAUACAGUUCGUCGAGGUGUCGCCUCCCAUGGCCCUGUUGCACGCCCACGAAGCAUGUAGCAGUGCUGUACAGUUGUAUAAUAACCGGAGAUGCCGCGUGGGCCAAGGGGGUUAUGGUAGAGGAUGUCAUAGAGGAGCUGUGGACAGCCAGGGCUAGGCAUUUUGCUUGGCGACUCAUCAGAGUGUUUACGAAGGCAUUGACUCGUGGCAAAUGGAUGGCAAAUCUCAUGCUGCGUCAGGUAAAAAGUGGGCAUAGUUUUCUUGCCGAUUCCUGUAUGGUUUUCCAUGUUCGUUAUGGAGAAUUAUGUUCAGCGGUCGGUUGGAAGAAGGCCUUCACAUAUUCGGAAGAAAGUGGGUGUGAAAACCAGCUUGACAUAAUCAUAGACUGAAUGGGUCGUCGACAAAAUGAUUGGGAAUUUUUUUCCCAAACAAUUUCAAAAUUCCACUGUCCAUAGGUUAAUCAAAUCAGGAGGUGGUUGGUACUACUAGUACUAGCGAAGCAGCCGCUAUCACAUAAAACAAUGGCACGAGCCGAAUCAGAAAGACAGCCGCUGCUUGCAAAGCAUUGCCCCCACAACCAUAAGAUCAGGGGCCCCUAAAUAACCGGACAGCUAAGUUCGUCGAUGAUUCGCUCGUCUAAAAGGAGCUCAUCUAGCUCCGUUUCGUUGUAUUUCCUCGUGUCUGGAGCCUAAUGGGAGGUUAGUUAGGCGGUCGCCAAUGAUUGAGGAUUACCUGGCUGUGAUGGGAGGAGCUGGCUGGCCACAUUGGUGGCCUUCAGGUGAGAUGGACAUGGGAACUCCAUCACAUGCCCAUCUCAAGCACCAGCCCGGCGAUCCCUGUUGGGGAAGCUGUAGCAUUUCUCAUGCUGCACAUGUAGAAAUCUUCUGCGUGCCAACCGCUGUCGCCGUCGGCCCAGUGCGCGAUGAGCAUGGCACCGCCACUGCGUGGUCGCGAUCGCUACAGGCGGCUACAGGCAAUAACUCGGGGCAGUAUGUUAGUUCAGGGAAUUGAUGAUAUGGAAAUAACAGAACUUACCAUUAACUUAUACUCUACUAGCAUAGAUCAUGCCAGGCCACAUGACUCCAUGCUUAAAAUGUUACAAUGGGACCUUUCGCGGCAAACAGCAAAUGCACCCCUUGUAUGUUUAUUCUAGAAUGUUAUAAUGUCACAAAACACAGAUUAAGUUGCAAACGAAGGCAUUUCGGUGCCACGUUAUUAGAGGAACAAAGAGUUUGGUAGCCAUUCGCUGGGUAUUCGAAGAAUGAAAGAACAGAUAGCUAUGGGCUAGAUUCCCUCGAGACUUCUUGUCCCCGACUAAAUGGCUAGCAACUUCAGUCUACUUACAUGUGGAACAGUGGAAACAAAGUGUGCUUGGCAUGUGCUAUUAUUACACAAAGCUCUAUAUACGAGUUGCAACUAUAGCUCCCGUCGGUCGAUUUUCACAGAGAUGCGCCCGACUCCCAACUCAAGAGUUUGUCACGCUUUGCAGCAUGUUGUCUAGGGCUCAGAGAGCAAGAUCAGCAUACUGUUUUAACCAACUGACAACUCACAAAAAUGAGCCGAAACUGACAUUAUUCGUAUGCUUCCAUCAGACUGGCCAGUGCCCCUCCAAUCUAUGGCUUUGCUUUGAGCAAGAUGGAAGAGUAUGAAGCAAUUCUAUACCCGGAUCCAGUAAGUGGCACCCCUUCCGGUGUAAUAUCGUUUGGUGAUUCCAGGUUGGUAUCCACCUGCAAAAAGGACACAACAGCAGUUUCAGGCUAAUUAUCCACUAAACUUAUAGCAAGUCAGAACUAAGCCACUUGCUUCCAGAAAAUUGCAAAAAUCUGUCUUUCUUAGAAAACACUGGGGAAAAUAUCAGUAGAUUUUCCAAGCAAUUGAUGUAGUAGCAUGGGAGGAACUAGACAGUACGACCACUGAGUUACAAAAAGUUAGCAAGACAGGAAGUAUACAUACCACACGGUUCCAGCUUUUAUGAUGAGGUGCUGGGGGAAUCACAGCAUCCACAAAAUAGUCAUGGGCAUUGAAUGCCAAAUAGAUAUCUCCACCAGAAUUGUGGUCGUGUAUCCUACAUUAAUCGCCAAACAAAACAGUUGAGAAGACAAGAACUCGUAGCAACCAAACUACAACAAUACUAUCAUAUGGUCAGAAUGAAUUACACAAUAAAAACUGAAAGCCAAACUUCCUUACGUGAAUGCCAAGAAUUUGCUUUCCAAGUUAUCCCAACAAUCCUCAUGCCAGGUGACAUCAUUCUACAAUCAAGAAAGAUCAGAAUGCGAUGAAAACCUUUGGAAGAAAAUUCAAACCAAGAGUUACAUACUUGCAUCCUACAAAAGCUAGGAAUUGUCGUUUCUAACGUGCAAUGCACAAUAAGAGACCAGAUCACAUACUUAGCAAAUACUCAACAGAAACUGAUAACUGUAUUUCAGUAAAGGAAGAACUGUUUAUUUUCAAUACGCCGGUCAACUGCAAGAACACCACUAAGAAUUUGAACAUACUUUACUAAGAAACCUGUCCCGUUUCAGUAUUGGGUGGUUCUGACGAAACUUAAUCAUCUCUGAGAAAAACCUGAAAUGGCCAUAUCUUCUUUCCGCCAACUGUAUCAAACGGACAAGAGGAGAAAACAAGUUAGCAUAUAGAUGUGGCACAUCCAUAACACAUUUUGAAUGGAAAACCAAAAUAAUCAUGUAACCUGUUCCCACUGGAAAUUAUUUAUGCAGGUAUCAUGUCCAUAGCUAUUAUUGUUUCCAUAACGUGUAUGACCAUAUUCAUCUCCCAUCAACAUCAUUGGGGUGCCCUGUUACAAAAACAAAAGGUGCAAUUAGUAAUUUUUACAUUAUGCAAUACCACAUAAAAGUCCAACUGUGAAGUGAUCAAUAAUAUUUACUUGAGAAAUCAUUAAUGCCACAUGGAAGUUCUUCAUUUGUCUCGAACGCAGAGCUAACACAUUCGAAUCAUUUGUUUCUCCUGUUUAGCAACAAGAUCAAAAUAUGAUAACCUUCCAUGGUUGUAUUUUCUUCGAGAAACAGAAAGUGUGCGCUUCGAUGCAUUGAUAGAAAGAAUAGAGUAGUAACCGUAGAAGCCUAAGACUACGCCGAAGCAACCGACCACUCAAGACAAGACCACAACUACAAACAAACACAACCAAACCAACCCUGGCAUAGAUGCCAUCCGCACAAGCGGACAGAACACAACGCCCAUCACAAGAAGAGAGAAUCCAACUCUGCAAAGGGCAGAAUUGGGCUACUCCCACUUUGGAGGCAACAUAGUUGUAUUUGGUCUAUUCUUGAUACAGAAACUUCACUACUAAGAGUAGGCCAUGAGUUCUAUCAAGUGUCAAGCAUACUGCAAAAUUAAUUUUGAACUAAAAAUGCAUUUCGUGUUCUCCUUGUUCUUGUGCAAUACUAUACUUCAGUCAGAUAUCUUAAGAACGGCGGCACUGGAGAUCGCCUCUGUGUGGUUGGAUAUCGGCUCUGGCUGCUUGGGUGGUUGAGUCGUCGACCCGUUGGGUGCACGGCCUCAGGGCCAGUGUGCUGUGCUGCUGAUGUUUGUAAGCCAGAGUGGCGGCUUAGGGUCAUGUGGUAGGGUGUCGACUAGGGUCGCUUGGGCAGCAGAGUCGGCGGCCUAUUGGGGUGCAGCCUCGGGACCGGCGUGUUUGUAUGGCUCGUUUUAUCAGUUUUCAGCCAGUUUGUAUGGCAGGAGUAUAUGAUAAGGUAGAGCUCCUUGGUUGCUCGAAAAAGAAAAAAACUCUCUUUUCACUUGCUAAUUUCAAUAUGAAGAGCAACGCAUGAUAAUGAGUAAUGAUGGUACCUUCAACACCACAGUUCCAGCUAAAGUUAUCAUUGCAUCCAUCACGUCCACCUUCUCCAUUAGCAUCGUUGUGCUAUAUAAUUUUGGUCAAACAGAAAGCAUAUUAACAUAGAUACCACUACCUGUAUAGGACCUUACUUUAUAGUGUUUUUGGUAUACUCGAGUUACCUUUAAGUUGUAUGAUACAAGGUCACAUAAGGUGAACCCAUCAUGUGCGAUUAUAAAGUUCACACCGUGAUGAGGCUUCCGCUGGUUCACCUGCCAAUCAAUAUCACAUCAGAACUUGACUUUGCACGUGGUCCUGUUUUGAACUAUGUAAUCCUAAAUCUUCCACAUAAAAAUAAGUCUCGAAGCUUAUUCACAGAAGCUCCUAGCAGGCUAGCACCUCCAUACAUAGAGUGGUUUAAAUCUCAAAAUGGCAUCUCAUCCAAUAUUCAGAGUACAGCCAAUACCGUUAAGCAUUUGGGUGGAUCUUAGAGAAAUAAAUCAGAAUGAGCAUUGAAAACAAUGCAAAUAGAAUUGCAUACAAAAUAAAUAUGGAGGUUGGAUAUGUUAAUAGCGUAAGCUGCGCCCUGAUGACACUACGGAAAUAGCAAGUGUAUAGUUUCAACCUUCAACAACGCUGAAGACUUAAGCUCCGGAAUUUAUUUUUCUUAACACACACAUAAUUGUGUGUUCACUGUAUUUAGCUCAGGAAUUUGCAAAUACAGUAAAAAGUACACUUUUGAGUCACUUAUUUUGGGACGGAGGGAGUACUAUACAAAACAUCAAGAAACAGGGCUCCAAAAGAAAGUAUGUUUAGUGAUGAUAUAACCAAGCAAGGAAAAUCCUCAACUGAUGGACAAAAUGGCAGNNNNNNNNNNNNNNNNNNNNNNNNNNNNNNNNNNNNNNNNNNNNNNNNNNNNNNNNNNNNNNNNNNAAGAGCACAACUGAACAAAAUACCUGGUAGAGAUCAGCGGAUCCAGAUAUACGAGUUGCCAACACCCCCUUCAUACCAGGGUCACCCUGCAAAAAACCUCCAAAAUGAUUAGCAGGAUUCAAUCAUUCGUCAGUGCUUGCAGAAAUAAUUGGAAAUGUAACAAAGAAAGUAAUCAGGACAAACUCUUUUGCAGAAGUCACUCUAAAUUCAGAUCAAAUGUUACAAAAUCCACUGAUGCUAAAAAGGAAAUAUCUUGGUGUUGUAGGUCUUUGCUGAUUUAGUUAUGAUUAAUUCAAAGACAUUAUGCUAUGGAAAGCAUGAGAGAGUGGAAGCAACAGCAGUCCAUGGAAAAUUGGGUCGGUAAAUUCAAACAGGCAGAGAAGCCUCAUAAAUUCUUGAAAAGUCCAUAUUCUUCUGUGAAAAUCUUUCUCUCUGUUAGCUGUUCUGGCUUUUUUACUUUUCUGAGUUUUAUAUCGGUGGCUUGGCUUUUGUCAAUAUAAAUAUAAGAUAGAGGAUCCUUAAUCUUUCGCCACGGCAAAAUGGUCAUGAACAAAGCCAUCUAAUGAUCUGUCUUAAGAAUAUACAGAAAUGAUCAGGAUUUUGGAGAAUGUUAAAGAUCAGGAUCGGGAUAUAAAGAACAGCACCUUGAUGAACCUUCGAAGGUCGUCUCUAUACUUUCCAUUCCAUUCAGCCCACCUACAGGGGCAUUUGAUUAUAUCUUACAAAUAUUGGCAAUAUUCUCUAACAACAUUGAAACAUAUUCAGCUCUUCGUACAUUUGAAAAAGGAAACAUAGUCUAAUAAGGACUCCUAGACCAAUACUAAU
rnacentral:lncRNA from 1 species